ACAGCAAUAUCACGUUGAAACACCGGUUUUCCUACCAUCACCGACGUUAAGCAACGCCAGCCCUAGUUAGUACCUUGAUGGAUGGCCGCUUGGGAAUAACAAGUGCUGUAAG